rnacentral:tRNA from 1 species
GGCCAGGUCGUUCAGUGGCAGGACAUGGAAAACUUUAAUUCCAAGACGCGGGUUCGAUUCCUGCUCUGGCCA